rnacentral:misc_RNA from 1 species
AAAAUGCGAUAAUUAAUGUGAAUCGCAAACCAUCGUGAAUCAUCGAGUCUUUGAACGCAAAUUGCACUAUUCCCCACGCGGGAAUAGUAUGCCUGUUUGAGUAUCAGUAACCUUCUCAUUGACCCCUAUAAUAAGGGCCAGUGGAAUUGGGCCGUUGUCCCGCGCGUCGGCACAUGGCCUUGAAGUCAGCUCCGGACGCCGCUGGUCGGCGCGUCUCGAUCACAUCGGAAGCGUGUUCAGCCGGCUAGGCUAGCCACACGUUGUCCUCGCGGUCGUGACGUCUUAACACGGAAGCACCCGGGCGCGCGCAAGCCGCCAAUUCUUCAACUUGAUCUCAAAUCAGGCAGGAUUACCCGCUGAACUUAA